CAGCAGCCGCGGGAAUACGUAGGUGGCAAGCGUUGUCCGGAAUUAUUGGGCGUAAAGGGCUCGCAGGCGGUUUCUUAAGUCUGAUGUGAAAGCCCCCGGCUCAACCGGGGAGGGUCAUUGGAAGCUGGGAAACUUGAGUGCAGAAGAGGAGAGUGGAAUUCCACGUGUAGCGGUGAAAUGCGUAGAGAUGUGGAGGAACACCAGUGGCGAGGGCGACUCUCUGGUCUGUAACUGACGCUGAGGAGCGAAAGCGUGGGGAGCGAACAGGAUUAGAUACCCGCGUAGUCCCUGUCUCUUAUAC
rnacentral:rRNA from 1 species